GCGACGACUUGCAUGCCUGCAGAGAGGGCUCUGUGUGCCAUCUGUGGCAUGCAUGCCAUAGGUUAGCUAUCACAGAUGUAGCCUAUGGUCUAAGGAAGAACUAGUAGGCUGGCUUUUGCCAACUUUGAGUGGGAAUGCCCUGAAGGCCUAACUGAGUUUGGAUGUUAGGAUUAUGGAAAAGUGAAGGCCACCAUCUUGAAGAAGGAACCUGUGGCUACUGAGAAGCAAAGAUGACACUUGUGACACUUCCAAUAUCAGGAGGCCACCUGCUGCUUGGAAGGAGCUUCGGGAGUUUUGCUGUCAGUGACUAAGGCCAGAGAGCCACACCAAGGAUCAGAUCUCGGAGUUGUUGAUCUUGCAGCAGCUCCUGACCACUUUGUCUCAAAAGAUCCAGAGCCAAGUAUAGGAACGUGUCCCUGAAACCUGCAACCAAGCGUGACUGUAGCCGAAACUUUUCUAGCAAGGCAUCAAGCAAGGAAAGAGAGAGGCAGCUGCUGCAGAUGCCAGGACCAUGGAAGCACAUGGAUGCUGUGAAUACUCCAGAGGCACAGUUGUUUCUAUCAAAUACUAGACUGAUGUUCCCCUUCAGGAAGACCAAGCAGGGAGGUAGUGAGGGAUACUCUGCUCAGUGGGCUUUUCCGACACAGAAACUACACGGGACUCUUCAGUAGAAGAAGGGGGCUCUGUUGAAUUUGGUAGGCAAGAUCCUUUUGUAAGGGUAGGUAAGUUAGAUGGUGGAGUAUCUUCUCCUAGCCUGAUGCUCUCCAGAUAUACUGGACCACAGCUUCCAUCAAAUCCUGAGCUGGAUUGAAAUCCAGCAAUGUAGAUUUUUCUUUAAGCAAGAAGAAGCCAAAAAUUUGCUUUAGAUGGAUUGGUUACAGUUAAAACUCUGUGCUCCAAAUCAUAAAAUGUCUUUGGUAUCCAGC